GGCGCUGUGGCUUAGUUGGUUAAAGCGCCUGUCUCGUACACAGGAGAUCCUGGGUCCAAAUCCCAGCAGUGCCU
rnacentral:tRNA from 1 species